rnacentral:lncRNA from 1 species
CUGGAACUGGGACUCUGAAAGCAAACCUUUUCCCCCCAAAAAUGGUGCUGCAAAUUGGUCUUUCAGCCUUGUCUUCGGCCUGAUGUGUCACAGCAUGGCUUGGAGACGAGGUGUGCUGCCCUAUUGGAGCUUGGGGUCUGGCUGACCAGGUCCAGGAAGAGCCAGGAGUGCAGAUGGGCUUGCAGUGUUUGAAAGCUGCACAGACCUGAUUCUGUUAGGUGGGGAAGUCAGAGAUGGCGAUGAAACAGAAAAUGCGCACUGCUGCAUGAGGCUCACCUAAUUCCUGAUGGCAAGACCAAAUCUGAACACAAUGGCCUGACCACUGCUGUGGUGAAAUUCAGAGCACGAAUACGGUAUAAUUGAUUUUUUUAAAUCAUAUUUCAUUCUAAAUUCUAUUGGAAAUGAAUUUUAGACCAUUCCCAUCUUUAAUCCAAACAGUACUUACAGCAGGAUAGCAGGAUACUCUGUACCAAAGUCCAGUGAACGAUAUGGAUCAGUAUGUCAUGUGAAACCCUUAGGGGCUUUCU